GAGGGUAUAUCUCAGUGGUAGAGCACUUGCUUAGCAUGCACUGGAUCCUCGGUUCAAUCCCCAGUACCUCCA
rfam:Camelus ferus unplaced genomic scaffold scaffold1456, whole genome shotgun sequence.